CUCUCUGUCUCAAAAAUAAAUAAACAUUAAAAAAACACAGUUCUUCCCUUUUACAAAUAUUUAUACAUCACUAAAUCAGAAAAUGCUACACCCUCAGGCAUGCUCCCAGCAAACGAGGCUUUGGCAGAUUGUUGACACCAGUUUGCAAAGAAAUGUCUACACUGUGAGUAAAUCACUAACUUUUCCAUCUUCUUGAUGCUUCCACAAUUCAAGAAAUGUUAAAAUGUUUACUAUCUUUUCUGUCUUUAAUUUCUAUCGACGAGAAAAAGAUGAAACACGAAGGACUAGAGCUCCACGGCUGACCAAGGUUGGCAAGGUCACGGAGGAAACCUAGAACGCAUGCGCGCCCCUGAGAUCUGGGGCCACAGGUGCGCCAAGGUCCCGACGAUCCGGCCUCCGCCAGCCGCUUCAGCUCAGCGAACACGUUUGGAGCCAGACAAGGGAGGCUCACUUGCCUGGGUUACUUCUUGCUGGUGCCUCUGGAAAUCGUAAAUGAAAUUUAAACUGUCCCCUGAAGCUGAUAUGAGGUCUAGAGUGUGGGAACCUGAGCCGGCCGGACAUGUGGCCUGGAGAGAGAAAGACAGACGAAAGCGUCAUAUGCUGAGAGAGCUUAAGAGACUAGCAGCCAGAUGCGGCAUGGAGACCUUGAGUGGAGCCUAUUGGAACAAAAACAACUGUAGCAGCCCACUGACAGACACUUGAAACGCGCAGAGCGAGACCCUCUUCAGGCGACUCCUGGCUGCCCUUCUCCCUUGGCGUUUGUGUUUUAUUAAAGACUGAAAAUAACUUUAUCUCAAGGUCCUGAAAGCCUCGCUUCCAGAUUCCUCAGAAACUUACUUUAUCUCUAUCGCCCUCCCUCCACAAACCUAAAGGUGUAUAAUCAGUCACCCCUCACAACCCCAGGGCAGCUCUUUCUGCCCCCGGGUCCCGUCCCCGUGCUUUAGUAAAACCACCUUUUCGCACCAAAGACAUCUCAAGAAUUCUUUCUUAGCCGUUUGCUCAAGAACCCCAUCAGUGGGGAACAGCGAGAACAAAACUGGCUCAAUGUGAUAUGGGAGGCUGGUGACAGAGCCUCGGGGACUGUUGUGUGCCUACCGCUACCGUUGUGUGUGUUUGGAAAUCUCUGCGACGGAAAGCUUGAAGAGAGAACACGCAAUUGAAUUUGGCCCUCUCAGCCAAAAAGGAUGGAAGGAAGAAAGAAAAGAAGGGAAGAACGGGAAAGAGGAGAGAGUGCCCGAGUGCGCACAGGGUGACCCAGAGGGCUAGCCUCUCCCGGCGUGCAGAGUCCGCGGGAAUGACACCGCCAGGCAGGAGGGGCCGCGGCCAGGCCAGUAGCAUGACCGAAUCUUGCCCCUUCUGCCGCCUUUGUGCAGUCCCCACAUCAGCCACCCGGGACUGGUUCCUCGCCUCCGGCUGUGUUACUGAGGUGUGUUUCUCAUUGCGAAAUCCAGCUGGAGAAACCCGUCUUCCAGAGACCUGUACGCUUUAUGAGCCCCGCACUGGUGGGUGAUGCUCUUUGCCAAGACUUACAGUCAAUUCCAGGGCUCUCGGGGGAAAUCUGAACCCCUUACAAGAGGAGGAAUGUUUGUCCAGUUUCCUUCGGUUGAUCCGUUCGGAUUCACUAGCCAUCAGCCUAAAAUCAGGGCUGGGAUGUGGAUUCUCACGGGUUCUGGGGAGGGUCACGAACCUGAAAUCACUUCCAUUGCAGAAGCACCCAUCCACAGCAUGACCGAAAAAGCUGAUGGGGACGUGAGUUGGCCUUUCAUCCUCUCUCUUCCUGUCCUUUCCUGCAGGUGCAGAAUGUCUGGAGAAGUGGGAGAUGGGGGCUGGCAGUGUACAGAUAUGGGUGUGGGACAGCCACGGUGUCGUCUACACAGGGUGCCAUCACCCUAGAGACCCCUGGGACCCACGGGACUUUAGGAGAGCCUUUUCUUCCCCUCCACGGCCCCAGUACCUCUCCCGUUCUCAAUUCCACUGGGAAAGAUGUCACCGAAAGCACAGACUAACCUGAGAAGAUUCUCUGCUGGUUUACUUUUAUUAUUAACCCUGUUAUGAGAACUUUUAAGAUCUACUCUUUUGGCAACUUUCAAAUGUACAGCCCAGUUAUUAUUAACUACCAUCAAUCACCGUGCUGUCUGCCACACCCAGGACCUACUCAUUUCAUAACUGGAAGUUUGUGCCUUUCAACCCCUUCACUGAUUCCACCCGCCCCCACUCCUCCGUGUCUACGGGUCUGCUCUUUGUUUUGUGUGGCCGCACACCAAAGAAGUUCUCAGAUACUGGAUGGAGCGGACGUGCGGGCACGCUUCCCCCAGUGAAACGGCUGCAGCAGCAAACUGCACAGAGUCUUUAUUUCAUAUUUUCUUAGAUACGAGUAUCAAAGGAUAUCAAAGCAUGGGUAGGGAACACAAAGGGUCUUCAGACAUUAACCAGACACACACCUGCUGGCUACGUGAAGGGAGUACGUGUAGUUUCAAGGAGUGUCAGGGGGUCACAGCGGAUUUUGUAUCUAAUUGUCCUCUGCGGCGUCACGGGGCUCUGUCCUCGGAGUGCUAUCGCGCUCGACAGCCUUGGGACCAGAACAUCGCUGACGUUUCAGCUCUCACCCCGCUCACCCUCCAGGACUUAACGAUACCCUCUCUAGCAAUGACUCCACAGUUUUAUCGUUGCUGGUGUUUUAGAUCCCACGGCCUCUCCAGUGCACUUGUCUACUCUGCCAAAAUACCCGAUUACACGUGGGCGCCAUUGUUCUCUCCCUCCGCUCGCGCUCAGGCUCCUGGAAUGUGCACCUGCUGUGCCUGCAGCUGCCGUCCAGCUGUGGUCCUGGGACCUCCCAUUGGCAGCAUAUUGGGGCUGCUCUCCACCUCCCUCUGGCGGGUCCCUGGUUUUCAAUCCCUGUCAUUGUCUUCCUUAGCUUCCCCUCUCAUUUGUGCAGAAGGCCUCCUCUAGCAGCUUCCUGGAAAAUGGUGCCUGAGUGAUACGUUUUUACUCUCAUCCUUCAUAAUUGGACUCAGUAUGAAAUCUAGGUUGAAUAUAAUUUUUCUUCAGGGCCUAUCCCAGUUUUUCUUCUAUUUGUAAUAAUGGUAAGGAGUCUGCUAACAUCUUAUCCCCUCUCUCUUGUAAAGUAACUCCCUUCCCUCGGAAUGUUUUACAAUCUGCUGUACCACUCACGGUUGUGGUCGUGUGCCUUGGCUUAUUCCAUUCAUUUUGCUGGGACGUGGUGAUCCUCUCCGUUUGAAAAGUAGAGUCCUUCCCUCCAGGGGAGAUUCGUGUGUCAGGUGCCGAGAGCCUCCCCAGCUGCCUCCCCUGGUCUCACUUUCUCAAGUGCUCACCAGUCAACCUCAAACUGAUCCACUCAUGUUAUUUCUUUCCAAGUCUCCAUCGGUUAUGGUUUCACCUUCUCAAAGACAGAUUUAACAUUAUUUUCCCAUGCUUCUACUGAAAUUUUAAUUUUCACUAUAUGCUUUAAUUUCCUAGCUUUUUACUUUACUCUUUGAUUUUUCUUUUCACAGCAUCUGGUCCUUGAUUUACAGGUUCAAUAUUUUCUCUUAUAUCCCUGCACAUACUAAUUACGGGGGCUUUUUGAAGUUGAUUUUUUACUGUCCCCAAUGCUGAUGUUUAUUUUGUGUUCUUUUUCAUGUAUGAUGGUCUUAUUCUUUGCUUUUCAUGUUAUAACUCUUUUCAAGUAUCUGGUUAUCCUUGUGAAGGAGAUCAGAAUAGACCAUCCCAAAAUAGACCGCUUUGGCAUAAGGAUUAUUUUGAGUGGAAGGCAAUGGAGAAACAGCGGAUUCAGGAAAAACUCUAUCCUCCCCUUUCUGCCUGAAUGCAGGGUAUAUGUUUUCCCUUGUGAAGAUGUUCCCCACUCCUGUCCAGUUCCAGAAGAGACCAUGUGAUGCAACCUGUCUCACUGGAGACGGAAAACCGGCCCUAACAGAGCUUGCUAAAAGAUCCCUCAUAUUCCAUUCGUUUCCCCAGAUAUUUAUCAGCCCAUGAUCACCACCCCUACAAACCCACACCCUUUCUCCUUUGUCUUGUCUCUUCUCCACGAUUGAUCGCCUUCUGUUAAGAUGGUUUAAAGCCCCAGAUUCUAACCACCCCUUUGAGUCACUCACCGCUGAGUCCUCCCACGUGUAUGCACGUUGCACAUGCAAAUAAACUCUUGGGUUUUUUCUCCUGUUAAUCUGUCUUUUAUCCAUUUGAUGUAUA